rnacentral:tRNA from 1 species
GAAAUUGUAGCUUGGUUGGUAGAGCGAGAGCUGUGGAAAAGCGUAGAUGGUGGCGUCCAAACGUGGGUUUGAAUCCCACCAAGGUCA